rnacentral:rRNA from 1 species
AUUGAACGCUGGCGGCAUGCUUUACACAUGCAAGUCGAACGGUAACAGGGUGCUUGCACCGCUGACGAGUGGCGAACGGGUGAGUAAUGCGUCGGAACGUGCCGAGUAGUGGGGGAUAACGCAUCGAAAGGUGUGCUAAUACCGCAUACGUACUGAGGUAGAAAGUGGGGGACCUUCGGGCCUCACGCUAUUCGAGCGGCCGACGUCUGAUUAGCUAGUUGGGGAGGUAAAGGCUCACCAAGGCGACGAUCAGUAGCGGGUCUGAGAGGAUGAUCGGCCACACGGGGACUGAGACACGGCCCAGACUCCGACGGGAGGCAGCAGUGGGGAAUUUUGGACAAUGGGCGAAAGCCUGAUCCAGCCAUGCCGCGUGUCUGAAGAAGGCCUUCGGGUUGUAAAGGACUUUUGUCAGGGAGGAAAUCCCUAGUGCUAAUAACACUGGGGGAUGACAGUACCUGAAGAAUAAGCACCGGCUAACUACGUGCCAGCCGCCGCAGUAAAAC